CACUGAUGCGUCUAAGGAAUAUGUCGUCUGUCUGAGUUCCACAGAGCUCUACAGGAAGUGUGUCCGGCGCGCUUGUCCUUUGACUGAUUGGAUAGACUGAUAACAUUCCUCCCCCAUAAGUUCAGCUGAUGGACCAGUACAAAUGUGCACUUUGACUCCUGGACGUUGCGUUGCAGUUGGAUCUGAUUCGAGCUUGUGCUUUUCAAGAAAUUCUUUCCACUUUUGUGUGGAAUAUGCAUCAGACGUCUAUUUCUAGAACACUUGGAGGCCUAAUCUGCUGCUGCUUUCAUGUGAAAGUGCCAAGAAAAGAAAUGUAAAUAGCAGAAGAUAUCAACGGUUGAAUCUGUCUAUUGUGAAGCGUCGUACCCUGAGGGAUCAGCUCGAGUGGUAACACUAGUCCAGCCGGCCCGGGUUACUCUCCUUAACCCGCUU